AUUGAACGCUGGCGGCAGGCCUAACACAUGCAAGUCGAGCGGUAGCACAGAGAGCUUGCUCUCGGGUGACGAGCGGCGGACGGGUGAGUAAUGUUUGGGAAACUGCCUGAUGGAGGGGGAUAAAUACUGGAAACGGUAGCUAAUACCGCAUAAUGUCGCAAGACCAAAGUGGGGGACCUUCGGGCCUCAUGCCAUCAGAUGUGCCCAGAUGGGAUUAGCUAGUAGGUGGGGUAACGGCUCACCUAGGCGACGAUCCCUAGCUGGUUUGAGAGGAUGACCAGCCACCCUGGAAAUGAGACACGGUCCAGACUCCUACGGGAGGCAGCAGUGGGGAAUAUUGCACAAUGGGCGCAAGCCUGAUGCAGCCCUGCCGCGUGUAUGAAGAAGGCCUUCGGGUUGUAAACUGCUUUUGUACGGAACGAAAAGACUCUGGUUAAUACCUGGGGUCCCUGACGGUACCGUAAGAAUA
rnacentral:rRNA from 1 species